AUACGUAGGUGGCAAGCGUUGUCCGGAAUUAUUGGGCGUAAAGCGCGCGCAGGCGGUCCUUUAAGUCUGAUGUGAAAGCCCACGGCUCAACCGUGGAGGGUCAUUGGAAACUGGGGGACUUGAGUGCAGAAGAGGAAAGUGGAAUUCCAAGUGUAGCGGUGAAAUGCGUAGAGAUUUGGAGGAACACCAGUGGCGAAGGCGACUUUCUGGUCUGUAGCUGACGCUGAGGCGCGAAAGCGUGGGGAGCAAACAGGAUUAGAUACCCUGGUAGUCCACGCCGUAAACGAUGAGUGCUAAGUGUUAGGGGGUUUCCGCCCCUUAGUGCUGCAGCUAACGCAUUAAGCACUCCGCCUGGGGAGUACGGUCGCAAGACUGAAACUCAAAUGAAUUGACGGGG
rnacentral:rRNA from 1 species